GGUCUGGUGGUCUAGAGGUAUGAUUCCUUCUUAGGGUUGAGUUGAAUGCUUAACGAUGGAGGAGGUCCCGGGUUCAAUUCCCGGCUAGACCC